UACGAAGGGUGCAAGCGUUACUCGGAAUUACUGGGCGUAAAGCGUGCGUAGGUGGUUUGUUAAGUCUGUUGUGAAAGCCCCGGGCUCAACCUGGGAAUGGCAAUGGAUACUGGCAGGCUAGAGUGCGGUAGAGGGUAGUGGAAUUCCCGGUGUAGCGGUGAAAUGCGUAGAGAUCGGGAGGAACACCAGUGGCGAAGGCGGCCUUCUGGACCAGCACUGACACUCAAGCACGAAAGCGUGGGGAGCAAACAGG
rnacentral:rRNA from 1 species